UACAGAGGUCUCAAGCGUUGUUCGGAUUCAUUGGGCGUAAAGGGUGCGUAGGCGGCGCGGUAAGUCGGGUGUGAAAUCUUGGAGCUUAACUCCGAAACUGCAUUCGAUACUGCCGUGCUUGAGGACUGGAGAGGAGACUGGAAUUACGGUGUAGCUGGUGAAAUGCGUAGAUAUCGUAAGGAAGACCAGUGGCGAAGGCGGGUCUCUGGACAGGUUCCUGACGCUGAGGCACGAAGGCCAGGGGAGCAAACGGG
rnacentral:rRNA from 1 species